AUGAUGCUGUACUUUAAGGUUAUUUUCCUGCUCUGGACUUUGGGUGUGGCACAGUCAGGUAACAUCUCCCAGCCUGUGUCUGUCCUGACGGUGAAGCUUGGAGAUUCAGCAACAAUUGAAUGUCACAUAGAGAGUGAAAUGCGUCGAGGAGUGUGGUACAAGCUGACCAAAGAGAAAAGACUACAGAAUGUGGCAACAUUCAACUCCAGAUACGACCUUAGCACGCUGGCUCAGGAGUAUGAUCAUCGUUAUUCUGUAACGUUCAACAUGUUCGGCAGUAAUCUGAGUAUUUCUGCAGCAACGAGGGAAGACACCGGAACAUUCUUCUGUGGAGUGUUGACCUCAAACGAUAUCCAGUUUGGAUCAGGAACCUCUCUGAAGCUGACAGACCUGCACAGACCUGAGACCUGGGGGUCUCCCAGGAACAGUGGCUGGAAAACACUACUUAAGAUCUAG